GGAAUUCUGAAGGCUCAUUGCCUUGAUAGUUGAGACUGUCAAAUUGUGUCUUUUAUUACGUUGUUUUGUAAUUGCUAAUCUUCCUAUGACUAAAUAGUACCUUAAAAGCAAGGAUUAUGCCUGAUUCUUCUCUAUUCCCCACUUUUCUGUUGGUGCUUAGAACAAUGCCAGUAAAAGUUCCGUAAAUAUUUGGUUGAUUUCUAAAGAUAGCACAAUUCUCUUAACGUUGGCUAAAACCACAUUAGCUUUUUUUUGUUUUUUGUUUGUUUGUUUUUUUGGCAGACAUCUGUGUUACUCAGGUUGGGCUUAGUGUCAGAACUCUUUUCUUUUUCACAUGAAUUGCUGUUUUGCCCCAAUUGGUGCUUUUUUGGACUGUUACCUGAAUUGAAGUAGGUAUUUACAUUUAUCCCUAAGACUUCACAAAAGCUACCACUGUCACUUUUCCCCCCAUAGGAAAUUUCUUAGAAAUGCUGCCUAAUUAGGUUAAUUUUAGCCCAUUGUGCUAAUCUGUCACAGGUUUUUUGGGGAUCUUGAUUCACUAUUCCAAAAUAUGCACUGCCUUCUUUAAUGUCAAAUUUGGAAAACCUUAUUUUCCUCUAGUUUAAGAUGGUAAUACAAAUUAAAAUAUUGUAUAGAAAAUGUCCAAGGAAGGUCAGAGCUGUAAAGGCUGAAUCUCAACGCUCUCCUCCAGGUUGAUAAUCUAUAGAUCAUCAGUUUCUUCAGUUCUUUUUUUUUUUUUUUUUUUUUUUUUGAGAUGGCGUCUUCCUCUGUCACCCAGUCUGGAGUGCAAUGGCACAAUCUUGGCUCACUGCAACCUCCACCUCCUGGGUUCAAGCAAUUCUCCUGCCUCAGCCUCCCGAGUAGCUGGGGUUACAGAUGCGCGCCACCAUGCCUGGCUAAUUUUUUGUGGUUUUUUUAGUAGAGACGGGGUUUCACCAUGCUGGCCAGGCUGAUCUCGAACUCCUGAUCUCAUGAUCUGCCCGCCUAGGCCUCCCAAAGUGCUGGGAUUACAGGCGUGAGCCACCGCGCCCAGCCCAUCAGUUCCUUUAGAGCAUAUUUGUGCAGCAGUUGUGAAAUCUCCCUAACGGUAUUCGGAUUCAGACUAAAUUUCCCCACGUGGACAUCUUGAGAGACUUAGUCAUAUAGACUUUGCCUAAUACAUUUUCUCUGUCUGCCCAUCUAGUGAUCAGAUAAAAAGGGGAGGAAAUAAAAAUUAACACUCUUGUUAAAUAAAUAUCUGCGCACCUUCUCUCCAAGCUUCUCAGAAAAGAUAACCGAUAAUUGCUGAUCCAAGACAGAGGAUUUCAGACAUUUGUUUGUUCACUUAAUAAAUACGUAUUAAGUUGUUACUCUGAACCAGACCCUAUGCUGAGAGUUUAGGAUACAGCUGUGAACUACUUAGAUGUAGCCCCAGAAAUGGCCGUUACUGCCUGGCUCUCAGAGAGGCUGAAGGGUGUGGUGAGAGUGUAAAGCAGCUAAUUGUGAGUAAGUGGUAGACAGACUAGAGCUGGGAAAUAGCAUUUGCAGAAGUGGAAGCUUUUCAAGUCCCUGAGAUUGUAAAAUCAAAUUCAAUGUUGAAGUCUAGAUGGAUUGGGAAACUAACUAAUUGAACUGUGUAACAGAUAACCCCUAAGAAACUGAAGUUUGGAGUAGCUUGUUUCCUAAAACAUUUAGUACUAAUAGACUUUUCAGGCCAGUAAUUCAAGCACAUACUAGCGAGAGCUUGUUUCACGUAACUGGUUAACAUGCUAUAAAAAUGGCACUGUCAUCUGAAGUAAAUGUCUUUGAACUUAGAACUGCCAUAUAAGAAUUUGGACUCUUUGCCACAGAGUGAAGAGGAAGCCCAGGAGAACAAUGAGUCAGUUUUUUUUUCUUUUUUUCUACAUUGCCUACAUUUAAUAUUCUUUUAGAGAGUUUUCAAAGAAUUGCUUAUGCAACACCUAUCCCAGUAUUUAUACAGAGGGAGAAAUUGAUCAUUUUCAGAAAGUCCUUUAUUUAGGUAUGUACUACACCUGGGCUGACUCUUAUACUGAUUUCUAAGUUAAUUGUAUCCUAUGCACAGAUCUCAAAAGGACUGUGGGUGAAGAAACAAGAUCAUCAGCCCAAGACCCCUAUUCAACCCUAACUGGGUUCCUUUUCCUAUUUUCCAGUGCAGCUUAUCCUUGUACCUAAAGUUGAGUAGCCCCACUAGGAAAGAUUGGCAGAAAGGAAUAGUUAAGCACCCCUUGGAGCUUGCUGCCUGCAGGAGCCUACUUCUAGGUACUCAGCUUCCCUUCCACUCUCUAGGGAUCCUGUAGACCACAGUGUUUGUGCUCAACUGCAGAAGCUUCAUGUGAGAAAAAAGUUUCCUUUUCUCCACUGACAUAUUCUUCCACUUUUUCUUUAUAUAAUUUCCUGCUGGUCUCUUUAAUCCCCAGGCUUCUUUCAAACUCCUGUUUCUCUAUAUAGUAGCUUCCUGUACAAAUGUAUGUCACAUUUAUAUGUGGAAACUUGCCUAAAUAAAAUUAGGCAGAUGUGUGAUGCCAGAUAUACACAUAUGACUCACCCCGCCCCUCCCCUUGCUUCAUUUAGUUUCUGGUCAAAUACCACUUUACUAAGAAAGGCCUUACCUGACCACCACCUCCACCUAAAAUAGCUCUCCUUCAAAUGGAUCAUUUGGCUUACUGCACUUCCCCUUGCAGCAGUUGUCACCACCUGUGAAAUUAUAUAAUAUCUUAAUUAAUUGUAUUUGACUCCAUGAAUGCCAGGAUAUCAGGGACUCACUGCUGAGUCUCUAUAGCCUAGAACAGUGCUGGUACAUAGCCCUUAAAUUCUUUUACACAAAGAAGAACCUAUUAAAUUUUGUCAAAUAAGAAACUUGAGGUUUAUCUUAAUGACAGAGUUGCUAUUAUCACCACCAUCUGUUUUAAAGUUGAGUAUACUAAAAUUCAUAGCCUACUCAAGGUCACACAAGUAGUAAGUGGAGCCAAGCUUCAAACAUAGAUCUCCUGACUCCAUUCAUAUGACCCUAUAAACUGUCUCAAAACAAAAAGAUAAAUUAAUAUAAAUAUUUAUUGAAUAUGUCUUUGUAGAGAAAGCAUAAUAAGCAUAAAGGGCAAUGCGUUAACCUUUAUCACAAGCAACCCUAUUGGAAUGUGUCAACUUAUCAGAAUGAAUCAGGCCAGAAUAUCAAGUAUAAAUGAAGCCUGUAGUUAACUGAAAGUUGCAUAUCAAUCAGGCACUCCAGUUUCUCUCCUCAAACUCUGAAUAUUCAAUGAAUAAGAUAAAGAAAUGGCUAAUUUGAUUUUACCUUUCAUUUUUUUGACCUAAUUCUAAGGUGACUACUCACUCCUCAAGAUUUAACUAAUGUUGCUUUAUUUUUAUCCCUCUGGGGAGACAGAAGAGAUGAUUGGGAAACACAUGUUUGAAGUUUGUAAGUUCUGCUGCUUUCAACCCCACAGAUGUCUCUUACUGCCCACUUGGGCCCUGGUGAUUAAGCAACUAGAUUUGGAGCCAGUCAGGCUUUUGUUUAGACAUUUUAACUUUUUCUUGCUUUCCUUGCAAACUCCUCAGCCUUCAGACUGGUUGGAAAGUAAAUGUACAAUCUUACAUAAAUUUUCAGGUAAUAGCAUUUCAGCUUUUUCCCCAAGAUUUUUUGCUUGGGAGGAGACAGAUUAGACUGGAUUCGGAGUCUUGAUUUUGCAAAGGUAACAAAAGACAUGUUUUUUUAUAAGACUUUUCAUCAUAAGUUUAUUUUAUUCAACAGAAGCAAAAUCUAAUAUAAUGGAAAAAAUAAAGAUCUGUGAUAAAUCUGAUCUGUGUGGAUAAACACAAUUAGAAAGACUUAAAGAUUAAGUAUUGAAACAAACUACCAAAAUAUUUUAAUACUGAUUUGUAAAAAUUUCAGUACAUUUUUCUUCUUUGCUUAAUUCUACUGGGUCCUGUUUUUCAUCAAAACAUUCUAUCAUGUUAGUAUACAAUAGCCAAAAAAAAAAAAAA
rnacentral:lncRNA from 10 species